rnacentral:rRNA from 1 species
UACAGAGGGUGCAAGCGUUGUUCGGAAUUACUGGGCGUAAAGCGUGCGCAGGCGGUUCGUUGUGUCGGCGGUGAAAGCCCCGGGCUUAACCUGGGAAUGGCCGUUGAAACUGGCGAACUGGAGUGUGGCAGAGGGGGGUGGAAUUCCGCGUGUAGCAGUGAAAUGCGUAGAGAUGCGGAGGAACACCGAUGGCGAAGGCAGCCCCCUGGGCUAACACUGACGCUCAGGCACGAAAGCGUGGGGAGCAAACAGG